rnacentral:rRNA from 1 species
UACGGAGGGGGCUAGCGUUGUUCGGAAUUACUGGGCGUAAAGCGCACGUAGGCGGCUUUGUAAGUUAGAGGUGAAAGCCCGGGGCUCAACUCCGGAAUUGCCUUUAAGACUGCAUCGCUAGAAUUGUGGAGAGGUAAGUGGAAUUCCGAGUGUAGAGGUGAAAUUCGUAGAUAUUAGGAAGAACACCGGUGGCGAAGGCGGCCCAACUGGAUCGGUACUGACGCUGAGGUGCGAAAGCGUGGGGAGCAAACAGG